rnacentral:rRNA from 1 species
CCUACGGGAGGCAGCAGUGAGGAAUAUUGGUCAAUGGACGCGAGUCUGAACCAGCCAAGUAGCGUGAAGGAUGACGGCCCUAUGGGUUGUAAACUUCUUUUAUAUGGGAAUAAAAUGUUCCACGUGUGGCAUUUUGUAUGUACCACAUGAAAAAGGAUCGGCUAACUCCGUGCCAGCAGCCGCGGUAAUACGGAGGAUCCGAGCGUUAUCCGGAUUUAUUGGGUUUAAAGGGGGCGUAGGUGGAUUGUUAAGUCAGUUGUGAAAGUUUGCGGCUCAACCGUAAAAUUGCAGUUGAAACUGGCAGUCUUGAGUGCAGUAGAGGUGGGCGGAAUUCGUGGUGUAGCGGUGAAAUGCUUAGAUAUCACGAAGAACUCCGAUUGCGAAGGCAGCUCACUGGACUGCAACUGACACUGAGGCUCGAAAGUGUGGGUAUCAAACAGGAUUAGAUACCCCUGUAGUC